UCAGGUCAUAUCCUUUUUCUUUUUCCUUUUUUUUAAUAAAUAAUAAAUAAAUAAAAAUCCAAACAUGGCCAAUCUCAAUGUGACAUGUGACCCUGCCAUUUGAAAGUAAAAGAAACAUUAUCCUCUUCUUCUGUUUCUUCACACGAAAUCCAUGAAGAGAAACAACUUAACUUAUUCUUUUUUUCUAAAAAAAAAAACCAAGAUUCUUAUCUAACAAAAACAUAUUUAAAAUAUAAAUAGAAUAAAAAAAGGUGCCAACAAGACAAGAAACGAGAGAAAGAGAGAAAAAGUGAACCGAGAGAUGACGGACAAUGUUCAGAUUCGUUUUUGAUGGUGGAUUUUGUGGUACACGGUUGUGUUUCGAGGUGUGGUGACGUGAGAAUCCGGCACGAUGAAGAAUGGUGGAAGGUGCAGGUCAUAGAGCGGAUUGGAGGUGUUGAGUUUGUGUUGAUAGAUUGAAGAUGGAGAUAUUAUUUUUAUAUUGUGUUGUUGGUUGGUGAUUGAAGAAGUGGAAAAAAAUAGAUUUUUUUUUAGAUUAAAGUUUCUUUUGUGGUGAUGAUAAUGAGAUUUGGAAGAGAUAUUAUGUGUUGGACGGUUUAGGAAUAGUAGAGA
rnacentral:lncRNA from 1 species